rnacentral:rRNA from 1 species
UGGGGAAUCUUCCGCAAUGGACGAAAGUCUGACGGAGCAACGCCGCGUGAGUGAUGACGGCCUUCGGGUUGUAAAGCUCUGUUAAUCGGGACGAAUGGUUCUUGUGCGAAUAGUGCAAGGAUUUGACGGUACCGGAAUAGAAAGCCACGGCUAACUACGUGCCAGCAGCCGAGGUAAUACGUAGGUGGCAAGCGUUGUCCGGAAUUAUUGGGCGUAAAGCGCGCGCAGGCGGAUUGGUCAGUCUGUCUUAAAAGUUCGGGGCUUAACCCCGUGAUGGGAUGGAAACUGCCAAUCUAGAGUAUCGGGGAGGAAGGUGGAAUUCCUAGUGUAGCGGUGAAAUGCGUAGAUAUUAGGAAGAACACCAGUGGCGAAGGCGACUUUCUGGACGAAAACUGACGCUGAGGCGCGAAAGCCAGGGGAGCGAACGGG